UACGGAGGGUGCAAGCGUUAUCCGGAUUCACUGGGUUUAAAGGGUGCGUAGGAGGGUAGGUAAGUCAGUGGUGAAAUCUUCGAGCUUAACUCGGAAACUGCCGUUGAUACUAUCUAUCUUGAAUACCGUGGAGGUGAGCGGAAUAUGUCAUGUAGCGGUGAAAUGCGUAGAUAUCGUCUGGAGCGCCAAAGGUGAAAACAGACUGCUGGGAGUGUGCUGACGCUGAGACACGAAAGCUAGGGGAGCGAACGGG
rnacentral:rRNA from 1 species